GUUCAACACCAGUCUAACCCUAUUGUUAUAGCUGUGGGUUCUGUUCUUUUGUUCUCUGCCCGCUGUUUUUCUCGCUGACUUUCAGUGGGCCUGGAAAGUUCAGACAUGCAGCAGGUCACUGCGCAUUCUUGCCAGCAGCAAACCACUGAAC
rnacentral:sRNA from 14 species